CUGACCACCUAAACCCAGGAGGCGUCCCCUGGCCGAGUUCAGAGCCCUGCGUGCUGGUCCACACACAAAAGAGGUAGCUGCCCCAGGGAAAAAUCCCCAAAACGUGUGGCCUCUUCCCCCAGCCAUUCAGCUUUGGCAUCUGUGCUUGGAGAGCUGACUCAGUGGCUGAGAUGUAUACGACUGUGGCUACAGAUACACCGGUCGAGUUGCUAGCUCAGGGGUAGAGCAGAGGACUCACAGAGAAGUGGCUUUCGUCACAGGAUUGAACAUAAGCUCCAGGCUCAUGAGAAACGCAUUUCCUAGUAGUCACUGCUCCCAGGCAUGCAGGGAAGGGUUUUCUCAGCUCUUCAUCUGUGUCCUCAGGGGACAUCUUCAGGCCGUUAGGAGACAGGAUCUGAGCGUCUGCUGCAGCUGAACCCUGGAAACCAACAGUAAAUUCGAUACUUGAAGAACUGCUAAAGAUUUAUGGUGUUUCAGAGGAGAAGCUUCGGAAAAGGAAGACGAGCCAACUUCCCUGCAACGUGUUAGAAAACAUCCGAGGGUGUGGAGCUGUUUUUUGUUACACGGAGCAAAUGAAACGACAGGAAAGACCAUGAAGCGGUUUGUGGGAUGUCUGAGUCUUUGGAAUUCAACUGUACGAAAUUUUCAUCUUUUUGAGACUUUUGUGCAUUUCACAGCUCUCCCAUUAAGAAGCAUUGUUUUCCCUGUUUUGGUCAGUUUCUCCAGAUCCCUCCUGGGGUGUGUGGUCCCCUCAGCUGUCUCAGCAUCCUGUGAUUCUCACUUCUUUACGAGGUCUCCCUGGGACUCAGCCCUCCCUCUGUCCCUCCCUGCCUCCCCCUUCCUUCCUUCCUUCCUUCCUUCCUUCCUUCCUUCCUUCCUUCCUUUCUUCCUUCUUCUCUUUCUUUUCCUUUUUUUUUCUCUCUCUGUCUCUGUCUCCCUCUCUAUCUCUCUCUUUCUUUUUAUUUUUUCAUUUCUUCUUUGUCUCUUACAUAAUUUCUAAGGAAAGAAAGUGGCAAUGUCUUUAAUAAGAAGCUUUAAAGUAGGCAGGUGUGGUGGUACACUCCUAUAUCCCAGCACUCCGGGGAGGCUGAGGCAGGAGGAUCAUUGCAAGUUCGAGACCAGCCUGGCUACAAAGCGAGCCCAAGGCCAGCCUGAACUGCACAGCAAAAACCUGUCAAAAAAAACAAAAGCUUCAAAAUUGUAAAUAUGUGAAGACUUUGAGAAGCCCAUUGCGCUGCCUUCCUUCCUGAGACCUCCGGGGGCCGGGGCGUCGUCUUCCCCUUGCUGCCUGUCAGGUACCAUGAACUGCAAUGCAGGGCUAAGAUUUGGCGACACUCAGAAGACCAAGUCUUUCUUGAAAACGCUGGGCUCAGGAGUGGCCCCACAACCUUACCUUGUUCAAAGCAUAUCUCAGAAGUUUCUACAAACACUCUUUCUCAUCUUUUAAAAAAAUAACUCUCUUAAUUCUGUAGUUUGACCAAUGCUCUGUCUAUGCUUUGAUAAGUAAGAUACAAGGUAUGACAUAAAAUAUGGUAAGUAUUAAAAAGUUUUCAGUUAUGGAGAAAGACAGAUUUUACCUUUAAGGUACUUGCUUGAAACACGCUUUCCCCAUUAUUAUAUUAUUCCCGCCACCUGGGAAGCAGUCCUGAAGUCCUCUUUCCUUGUACUGUGUUGACUUCCUCAAAAUCCCAAAUUGUUUCAAAACAUUUACCUUUCAUUAAUUCAACUUCAUUAAUUGCUUCAAAGUAACUUCAACUUCAGGGAAGAGCCAGAAGUCACAUGGUGCCAGAUCUUAUGAAUAAGGUGGAGGGGGACACGGCAUAAUGUUUUAGGAGGCUGCUUUUCCAUUGGGUGGCACUCAGCAGCACUGUAUUUUUUAAAUUGUUUAUUAGUGCAUUUUAGACAAAAGUAAUGAUCAUGUUCAUCCCAGGGAAUCUGUGUCUGUAAGUGAUAUAUUUUGAUACCUCUUUUUUUCCCCAAUCCCUUCUCCUCCCUUCAAUUCCUCUUCCUAACCCUUCUUACAAAGCUUUGUUUCCAUUUUAUCUUUUUUAAAAACGAACUAUACUUUUUAAAUUAUGGGUUGUAAAGACACAAAAUAAGGGGGAGUGUUUUAAGGGUAACUAAUGGUAAUAUGUAUUUUACUGUAAUAAAUUUUAAAAUUUUUUA